rnacentral:rRNA from 1 species
GACGAACGCUGGCGGCGUGCUUAACACAUGCAAGUCGAACGGAAAGACCCUGCUUUUGUGGGGUGCUCGAGUGGCGAACGGGUGAGUAACACGUGAGUAACCUGCCCUUGACUUUGGGAUAACUUCAGGAAACUGGGGCUAAUACCGGAUAGGAGCUCCUGCUGCAUGGUGGGGGUUGGAAAGUUUCGGCGGUUGGGGAUGGACUCGCGGCUUAUCAGCUUGUUGGUGGGGUAGUGGCUUACCAAGGCUUUGACGGGUAGCCGGCCUGAGAGGGUGACCGGCCACAUUGGGCCUGCGAGACGGACCAGACGCCUACGGGAGGCAGCAGUGGGGAACAUUGCACAACGGGCGGAAGCCUGAUGUAGCAACGCCGCGUGCGGGAUGACGGCCUUCGGGUUGUAAACAGAUUUCGCCUGUGACGAAGCGUGAGUGACGGUAAUGGGUAAAGAAGCACCGGCUAACUACGUG